UGGGGAAUUUUGGACAAUGGGGGAAACCCUGAUCCAGCCAUCCCGCGUGUGCGAUGAAGGCCUUCGGGUUGUAAAGCACUUUUGGCAGGAAAGAAACGUCGCGGGUUAAUACCCCGCGGAACUGACGGUACCUGCAGAAUAAGCACCGGCUAACUACGUGCCAGCAGCCGCGGUAAUACGUAGGGUGCAAGCGUUAAUCGGAAUUACUGGGCGUAAAGCGUGCGCAGGCGGUUCGGAAAGAAAGAUGUGAAAUCACAGAGCUUAACUUUGGAACUGCAUUUUUAACUACCGGGCUAGAGUGUGUCAGAGGGAGGUGGAAUUCCGCGUGUAGCAGUGAAAUGCGUAGACAUGCGGAGGAACACCGAUGGCGAAGGCAGCCUCCUGGGAUAACACUGACGCUCAUGCACGAAAGCGUGGGGAGCAAACAGGAUUAGAUACCCUGGUAGUCCACGCCCUAAACGAUGUCAACUAGCUGUUGGGGUCUUCGGACCUUGGUAGCGCAGCUAACGCGUGAAGUUGACCGCCUGGGGAGUACGGUCGCAAGAUUAAAACUUAAAUGAAUUGACGGGGUCAUAGCUGUUUCCUG
rnacentral:rRNA from 1 species